UUUGAUGGUUGACGACCCUGCACAUAGCAGGGGGGGGGUUGAAACUACAUGAAUUUUGAGGUCCUUUUCAACCCAGGCCAUUCUUCAGAAUUUCCUCUGCUCACCUUCAGGACAAAGCAGCAAUACUUGUCUGUUUUUUACAUUCUUUUCCCUGUACUGUAUCCUGCCGCCUCUUUCACAAGCAACACUUGAUGGAAAUGAGAUGACAAAUAAGUUGGCCUCUCCAUCUUACUGUAAGUGGCAGCCCCAGGAACAGGCAAGUGAGCAAGAUGCGGGCAAGGAAGUGGCUACUUCUGUUGUGUGUUGGAGUAGCCAGAGAAAUCUGCUUUAUUUUCAAGGCAGACAAUUAAGACUGCGCUUGUUUAAUGACUCGCAAAUGUAUCUCAAGUAGCAAAUAUCAGUGCAGAAGUAUUUCAGAGACAGUAGAGAUAACUGGAACUCAACUAAUUGUGCUUUUCUGCCAUUCCUUUUUCAAACGUACAGAAAAUAUUUUCUCUGUUUAGAUGUUUGGGCUUUUUUUAGUGUGUGUGUGUGUACAUACAUGCAUAUAUAUAUAUACAUACACACACACACACGUGUGUGUGUAUAUAUGUAUAUAGCAAAAAUAUGAUCUUAUAGAGGAAACAAUAUUUGCCAGAUCUUAUCCUUUAUCGGUGACAUAUGACACAGUUCAAUUACAGCUUGUCAAAAGCAUUCUCCACUGUGGAGCAGAGUGGAAAAACAAAUUACACACAAAUGACAGUGGACUGUUACAGUCAACUCAGGGACUAACAACCUCUUGACUUUCUUACUAAGAUGUGUGAAAAGCAAUGGAAGCAUAACAUGAAAUAUGGGGGGAAGGAUACCGUGGCUUUCUGUGGUUCUGAACUGAAUGGAACAGCAGCGAUGCUGAAUCCUGUGCAGAUGAUCUGUGAGUGAGUGAGUGAUGGGGAAAGGAGAAUUCCUGGCAUGAGAGAGGGUAAAAUUAUUACUUGGGCCACAGUUCUGUGCUGGGGGUGGGGAGGACCUGCCUAGCUCAUUUGGCUAUCUCAGUACUGUCACAGUAGGAAAAUUUAUUUUGAGGAUGUUGCCAGGGAAGCGAUGGGGUUUUACUUUAAAUUAAUCAAGUAUUUAAAUCAGUUAUGAGCACUUAAAUAGAACCUGACUACCUCUUUCUAGAAGAAUGGAUGAUUCUCUUGGUGCUGUGUUCUUGUUGGAAAAAUUGCUUUGGCCUGCUGGGAAACUUAUGCAAUCUUGUCUAUAAAUAAGCCUUUUUUUUUUUUCCUAUUUCUAGAGGAAACUUGAGCAGCACAUAUUGAUAGUCAGUUUCCAGAUAAAACUCAGCUAAAUAUGAAACUCUUCAGUUUUCAAUAACUGUUUUUGUCGAACUUAGAUCAGGAGCCUGGAGUGUGUGCAGUUGCUGCUCUCAGGCUUUAGGUAGCUCUGCUGUGCCCCCACCACAUCAUUUUUGACUAAAGGUAGGAUUUUAUAAGACUGAUCAUAGCAACGUAUUUAUCUGAAAAUGCUUUUCCUGUCAGAUCUUCCUCAGUGCCCCUAGGAUUUAAGGUCAGGGUCUAAUAGCUUCGAGAGGGGUUGGAUUUUAUGUGACAGAGUAUGUGGUCUUCUGCAGAGAGAAGCAUUAUAGAGCUUCAUUUAAAAAAUGCAGGUGGUAUGGAAAUAAUACCCACUGUUCAAAAAGUGACAACUGCUCUUGAAAGGAAGGGGUGGCACAUGAAUCUGUUUUUUAUGAUGGUCUGUAUGUUUCACUGAAGAAUUUCUACUCCAUGUAGCUGUGUUUAGGCUGGUUGCUUACAUAAGUGCUUCCUCACUAUUUCACUUAGUGGUAGUCCUGUAGACCUGGUCACUUGUCAGUGUUGUGGUGGUGCAACCCUUCAGAGUCACAGAGGAAAAAGAAACAGAUUGUGCUCCCCUAAAACUACACUCAAUAACUAAAAGUUAUAUAUAGAGUGUGUGUAUGUAUAUAUAUAUGUAACAUUAAAUAUAACAUAUAUAUAGUAAGGGAUUCUCCAAAAGUUGUUGCAAAACUAAGUCUUUCGUCAAGGUUGUUAAAAGCACUAGGAGGCAGCACAGCUGCCCAAAUAUGAAUGAGACCAGCACUUCAUCUCAUAAGAGUAGUGAUAUUCCUACCCUGCUUAAAUGAUGCCGAUGACCAUAAGUUUGGCCUGACCUUACUGACACCAUACUCAAACAAAGCAAUAAAAAUAAGCAGGAGGCUCAUUUACAUGGAGAUGCAGCGUUAGAGAAGAUCUCACAGCAGUCCAAAGGAAAUUUGGGUUACCUAUUGCUGUUUCUGUGAUGCUAUUCUGGCCUAAUAAUUAUAGAAGAGCGCUUGUGUUGGUAAUGGGCCUAACAAAACUCCUUGUUCUCCAUUUGUCUCAAGCAACUUGCUUCGCUGCUGGAGAAAUCUCUAGAGGUGUAUAUUUAUCUUGCUUCAGUGAGUGUCUACAAGUGAAUGGCUUUCAAGAGGAGCAGGACAAAAAUUAAGGCUCAUAAUAUGUGCUUUUGUGUUAUGUUUCCCUACUUGGAUGUGUCUUGAGUAUGAAGUGCAUAAGAAUGUAGGUUAUAUUGUAGAUAUGCUUUUUUUUUCCUUUUCUUUUUUAAUGUACUCAUUAAAUAUUCUGCCCUGAAAGAGGAAGAAGUCUGGUGCUCUCUACCUAACUGAAACAAGGUAAGUGUGUUGAGGCAGGUGGGAGCGGGUGGGUAAGGAACAAUGUGAAAGUAACAACAGAAUAACUUUUUAAAAAGUUUUCAGCUUUGCUGGAAACUGUAAGAUGAGCAUGUAUGCGUUACUGAGAAUGAGACAAUGCUAUCAAGCUGCAUUACUCAAAAUUUAGAACAUGAGCAGUUUGCAUCCCUACCCACUUUUGUGUUUGCCAUCACACCAGGAACGAAUAAGCAGCUAUUGCUGUGCCUUCAUUUGGAUAUGCUGGGGCUAUGAAAAGUAGGCAAAUAUGUAACUAAUAGAAUUCUCAAGUAUUUUCCUAGUUGUCCCAGUCUGAAACAAGAGAAGAGUUUGGAGCAAUGCAUCGUGUGUUUUGUAAUGGUUUUUGCCUUGUUGAUGUGUUUUGUGGGGAAAAAAACUAGAUUGGUUGAAUUGGUUGAAUUAGUUGAUGGAAUAAUUCCUUACAGGAAGGAGAAGUCGUCAGAACAUUGAGUAGUUUAAAUCUAAAGUGCACAGAGGAUUAGAAAAGGUACAGGGAGGAAUAAUUUUGUGUUGGCAGGAGAUAGACUUAAUAGUACUUUUUAUCUGUAAUUUUUAUGAUUCUAUGGCUAACUGGGGAAAAGUUUAAUGUUCCUGAUACAGCAACUGAAGGUAGGAGAGGGAAGAUUGACAUAACCAGAGCUGUUAUAAUUCAUUUCAUUACUUCACACAAGGCUUUUAUAUUGUCACGCCCAUAAAGCGCCAGUGUGUGUGCUUAUAGCCAAUUCAUCUUUAUAUACUGCUGCUGAUCCCAUUGAAGUGAAUGGCAAAACUCCCAUCAAUUUUAAUGGCAGUGGGAUAUGGCCCAUUUUGUAGAUAUACAAUGUAUAUUUCCUGCACACACUACUUUCUGUGUAUAAUGUGCCUCUCAUCUGAGGCUCUGAGAAUGUUUUACAAAGCGGUUAAUUCUAAACCAUUCGUGUCGCCUCCAACUGAUAAUGUGAUCUAUCUUCAGAAGGAAAUUUAGAAGUUGGCAUUUGGUUAUUUGUUUAUUUUAGGCUCAGCAUGCGCUUAGAAGGUCUCCAUGUGUGAAGGGCCAUCUUUGGAAAAUUUCCAUGAAUGAGUUGCUGGAGGUAACUAGAUUAGAAAUACGUGUCAUACUUGCAAGGCUACCAUUAUGCUUCAAAACUGAAAAAUAGGAAGCAUCAAGGAGAAUUGAAGGCAGCAUGGAUCACUGGGUUUGUACAUUACUGGUAGUCUGCAGCCCCAGAGGCUUAGAACGUCCCUUUUGGAUAUCACCUGUGUGAAUAGAAUAGAUUCACUUAAUUAACAGGGUAUAAACAAAAAAAAGUCAUUAUCGAUUCUUUGACUAUCUUAGCAUUCCUACUGAGAAACACGUUAGACAGUGGCAAGGUACCUACUCCUUCCAGAACCCAUCGUCUUUGAGCCUGUUAAAAUGAAUGUGCAAUGUAUGAGCUGUGUUUUAGUAACUCUAAACUCCUGCUGGUUGUGCUUUGAAAAAUGUGGAUUCAUAACAGCAUUCAGCACGUGUGAUAGAAAUAGAGUUAUCUGACUGGCCUGUGUCUUCACUUGAGCAUCUUCCUUCCUUGGCAGUUAUGUAUGUACAUAUGUAAGUUGGGUAGCAUUCACAUUCCUAGCUUAAUGAGAUAACAAGGUUUGUAGAAGACCCAAAUGGGAAGUUUGCAGUGUAACUUAGUCUUACAGCAUAGUUGUGAGUUAUGUACUAGUAGAGACUAAAUAAUUCAGUGAACUGUACUGCAGGUGACUGAUCACCAAGCCUUUCUGUACAACAUGCUCUUUCACUUAGCACGUGCUGCAUUACACUUUUUGGAACUGGAGUAUGCAAAGACUUAUGAUCUCUUUAUUUGACUGGGAUGUAUGCAACUACGUCCACCUUGUUGAAGUACGCCUGCUUUUGGUUAGGGCUGUAACACUGAAGAGUAUGUCUUCAUGAAUUUAAGUAGCUGUGUUGUGGUGGGGUGACAUGGGAAAAUACCACCAUCCAGAAGUGUGUUAAUGUCAUCUAACCAUGCAGGCAGUCACCCUUCAUGCAGUCCCCUGCAGAGCAACUCAUGUAAAGCAGUUGUCACCCAAGACAAACAGGAAUUAUCUGGUUUCAGUUGGUUGGUUUUCACCACCUUUUAUUUUUUAACCUUGUUUAAAUAUAUAAGUAGUCAUGGUGUUGUUGCUUGUUUGUUUGGUUGUUUUUUUUUAAUUCUAGAUACAAAGUUGACUUGAACUCUUAGGCUGUGAUUAAUAUUCUUACCUUGUUCUCAAGGGUAUGCUGACCUUCACUUCCAGUGCUGAAAACAUCGUGUAGAGCUAUAUCCCACCACGUGCUGGACUGUAUGCCAUAAUGUCAUGCAUUAUAAGGCAACUAUGGCUUUGUGGAGAGGAUAUUGUUGUUGUUGCAGCACUAGCCUGAAGUUCAGGAAGCGAGAGUUCAGUUCAUGGUUUUUUUGUUGACUUCCCUUGGGCAGUUUUCUUCUGUUUUGAUUUUUAGAAGCACUCAGUAGAGGCCUAACUCUCCAGUCAAUAUCAGACAUUUCCAUUGGUUUGUCUGAGAACUGAGUUAAGACACAAUGAAGUGCAUAAACUGCUUUGUCUUUAAACUCUCUGGGCCUCGUUUUUCCAUCUGUCAACAAAAGCCAAGAUUGUUCCAGUAGCAUUUACUUAUUUAUAAAUGUCUCACUACUUACUCCACCAGUUUCCAGACAUCAGCUGACCUGGGACUUGAUUUCUUAAAUUAUGAGGCUACUUUUUAAUGAAAAGUUUCAUUGCUUUUGCUAAAAAAAAUACAAAGCUUUAAUAGCGGAAGUUGGGGAAGAGCUUUUCCACCAGAGUUUUUCUUCCAAUGUCCUCUCUUAAGAGUUCUUUCUUAAGCAAAAAAACAUAAGUGUCUGUCUCCUCAUGCUUUCUUCUAGCCUUCUUGCAGAGUAUAAAAUGCUGUAGCUUCUAAACUCAGCUUUGCUUUAGUCUGAGAAAUGUGGUUCUUCUAAAUUAUUGAUUCUUUACCCAAGAAACACAAAACAAGUUUUAUUUUUCUUCCAAUUGCAUCAUACAGAUUGAUUCUCAAUGCAGAACAGAAAGUCUUUUGGAAAAACAUUUACAGUUUUACUUGGGUUGCGGGUGCAGAGGAUAUCAAAGGAGGCAUAUUAUUGAAGUUAACACUCUGAAGGCUACUCUGCUACUUAAAGGAGUAGUGUAAUAGGCCUUUGGAGUUUGUCUACAAGGUAAGUUUAUUUGGGUUUUCUUUUUUGGUGGUUUUUUUUUUUUUUUUCAGAAUGGGAAAUUAGAUAAUAGUCCUGGUGAGAAUCAGUGUCUGUGGAAGAAUAGAUGCAUUGCACUGAAAAGUGUGUGUGAGAUUAUUCUGCCAACACAACUGAAUGGAUCCAUGCUUAGCUCAAGUCCUCUGCGGUGAUUCUGUGGAGUUUCAAGAUCAGGAAAGGCUCCCUCCUACACACCUAGGUACAUACGCUGAGAGGCUUCUUUAGAUUCUUCUACCUGAAAGGACUUGGAGAUGGCUAGAGAGUGAUUUGGUUCUCGGGAUCACAGAUAAGUGUAUAAAGACUGAUUAAAUGCAAUGCACUGUGCUUUGUUUUGUCUAUUUUAUUGAACUUUUUUCAUUGUUGGUGCAUGUAUUUUGAAUAAGCAGUAGGAAAAAAGGAACUAUGCUAGAGAUAAAUGUCUCAAUCUAAAGUUUUCUGAAGUUUUUUUUUCCUAUUUAAAAAAAAAGAUUGCUCUGUCUGAAAUCGGAUAUAAGACAAGGAGACUGUAAAAGGUUUUCUAAGGCAGCACAUUCUCUGCUGAAUCCUACAGUAGAAGGAAAGUUAGAACACUGUCUUUCACUUUUUGCACAAUACCUUUAAUCUGUCGGAAAUGGAGUAAGGUUGACAGUAGCUUAGUGACCUAGGUGUUAAAGUCAUAUUCAUAUCCUUGGAGAUUUGGGCUUUAAAAACAUUUCAGCUCUUUGAAAAUGUUAACUUAAAGGUCAAAAUGGACUAGGUUUCAGUCAGUUCUGUACAACUCUUCUUUUUCCCAAUGGUUACUUCAGGUACACAACUGCUGUUGCUGAUAGUGAAUGGAAAAGUGCAUUUGAUUUUUUCCACAGGGGAUUUUAAUGAAAACACUGUGUAGACUUGGUUUGGAAAGGGCAAGGUAAACUUCUGUUGGAAUACCCACAACUGGUUUAUGCCAUUUAACUGAUGAUUGUUAGGAUGAAUAAAGCGGGACCAGGCAUGUGAAUUGCAUUUCAUGCUCCUGCAUGUGAAAUUUUGCAGCAGUAACUGUGAUGCAGGCAAAGCUUAAAAUGUCAUCGUACUAGUUCAUCUCUAACAGCCUGUGUGCUUGUGUUUAACUCAAGUGAUAUGACAGGGCAUUACAAAGAGGACGCAAACAGAAAGACAGCAGUGUGCAAAUUCCUGGCGCUGGAGUGACAAAGAUAAUCUCAGACUGCAAAUCCUUACUUGGGUUAAGUCUGUCUCGGAGGUUGCAGCUGAUAUCUCCAUUCAGGCUCCAGAAUGUAUUUAAAGAUGAAUGUUUAGGCCUUGGUGAGGUUAAGCCCAUACAAGCAAACAAAUGGGUUUCACCUUCAGAAAAAUGUAAGCUUAUCUGUAAGAAAAGCAAUUUUCUCCUUGUGCUCUGCUAAAUGCAACCCAUCAGGAUGGUCAGUUGCUCCUGUGGGGCAUCUCCAUCGCCCUACCGGACUGAGUGCAGAGGGAAGCACCUCGGGUCACCCUGCUCCCUUUGCUGUUGCUUCUGUUUCUUACUUCUCUGCACUUAGAUAGCAUCCUGACAUUUGUAAAAAGAAGCAUUUUUUUUCUUUCUAUACUAACUUUUAGAGAAGUUAAAAAGAAACAGCAUAGCGGUUGGUGACCCUGCACAUAGCAGGGGGGUUGAAACUAGAUGAUCAUUGUGGCCCUUUGCAACACAGGCCAGUCUAUGAUUCUAUGAAGAACUGCAGGAGAGGCAAAAGCAAUUCUGGAAAGGGGAGUGGGCAGAUUGGCUUUGUAUUGGGGGAAGAGAAUGAGUGCUUAAGGCAUCUGAAUUAGCAUCCAAAAUAAUUUCAAUCAGAAGCACUGGUAAAGAUUACUCUCUUGAUUUUAGGAAAGCUGAAAAGCAUAUCAAUUGGUUCUCUCUGCUCUUCCUCUCCCAUUAGCGGCUGUACUGGGCAAGGUGUUUGAGUAGCUGUGUGUCUGGCUUUAUAAGCACAUGGUGGUUUUAGGAGUUCCCACAGUGAGGAUGGCUCACUUUAAGCUUCUCCCCACAAAAGGUAGCAGUUAAUGAAAAUUAAGUGGUCCUUCAAAAAACAACUCUUACUGAACAUGUAGUAAUCUCAUGAUUUCAGGCUUCUUUUGAUAUUCAGAUCUCUGUGGGUAAGAAGUAAACACGAGGAUUUCAGAAGAGUGAAUCUUUGCUCUUCUUUCCUUGGUGUACUCCCUUUUCAGAAUCAUUGUUUCAGAGAACUCUAAAUGUGAACAUGUGAAAAAUGCUGUCUGAGGCGCAAUCUCUUUGUUAGUGGCAUGAUCUAUUGGAAAAAGUUAGCAAAUGUUAAAAUAUUCGAGUACCACUGUUAAAGCUUCCUUACGUUUUAUAUAGUUGUUUGUUCAGUGAAUGCAAUACAGUGAGAUAUGAUUCUAUCCCCUUGUUUUCUUCAGCUCAUUCUGUAAUGACAGGUCUGCAAUGAUAUUUCUGAACUUUUGCUCUUUUACUCAGAUCAGGACAUGCAUACCCGAUGUCUCUGGGGUUUCAGGUGGGAGUAAUUAUCUACUCAAAAGAGAGUAGCAUUUAAAUAUUACUCAGCUAAAUAGCUGAUUUUCCCCAUCUCUUCCUAAAUAUGAUUAGUCUUGCACUCAAAUGCAAAGCAUGUCUACUAUGAAUGUCAAUCAGUCAAGUAAGUAUGCUGGAGAAGGAGGGAAAACAGUGAAAGUUGUCAUUUAUUGUUAUGAAUGCAUGCAAACUGGAGUAAAAAUGAAAUUUGUCAUCAGUUCAUUAGCUUAAUUUUUACUGGAUCUGAGCUAUUGCAGCCACUAUUAUAAUGGAGGUGUCGUAACUGUUAUCACAUUUGUAUAUGGAGUCUGUUCUAAUCCCUCUUAGUUUAAUUUCUAUAUUUCCAGAUGAAUCAAUCUGUUUUACCUCUUGUACAGACCUGUCAAUGCCUUUCAACUCACAGCUAUGUCCCUGCACCUGUAUUAUAACACAUUUAUCUCACAAACCUAAUCCAUUAGAGGAUGUCAAUACAUAUGUUAGACUUAAAGACUUCCUAACUGCUGUUACGUUGUAGUAGUCUCUGUUGUUCUGAAUUUGCACAUUGGAAACAUUUUCUCCUGUCUGUGUGAGGAGAUGCUUUGCUCUGUUUUUUUUCCCUAUAGGCCUAUUGUACCUUGCAUGCUAUAUUUCCACUAUCGAGUUUGGCAGGUGUAGCUUGCAGGCUUAUAAAUGAUUUGUUAAGAAAUUACCUGGAGACUAUUGUGUCUGAUGCAAAUAUAAACACGUCAGCUGCAGUUUUCCUCUUACAAAGGAGAUGGCAAAAAGGCAGCCCUUGAAAAACUGAGAAAAAUGCAUAGCUCCUUUAUAUGUUAAGCAAGACAACUUUCCUGGGAUUGCAGCCACUGGCACUGUGACACAUAGCAGAAUUCUGAAGCAAAUCUUUAUCAGAGAUAAAUACUGUCUGGGAACAGGUGCUCCACUGGAGCAAAUUCUCAUAGCUUCAACAGAGCAGUGGUGGCUGAUCCCAGCAAGGAAUCUGGUCCACUUUUGAGAAGGAAAGGUUUUCCCAAACUGUUUGAUCUCAACACUUGGGCUUUCAUGUUGCCUUGCCCUGGUGAUUAGUUUAGGACUGUAAUCCCUAGACCACCCGGUUGUACAAACCUGAGCAAGUGUAAGCAGUGUGCUGUUAGCAGUGAACUCUGAUGGCCAGUUUCAUCGGAGGAAAGGGAAUGUGGUCCCUUGGAUUGCCUCGCAAAUGGAAACCUUCAGGAGGCAUGAACAUACUUCUAUCUACUAGGAAUGCUACUAGGAAUAGGCCACCUAUUCAAAAGGUGACUGGAGUACACAAAAAGUAAAAACUUGGAAAACAAGACUCAAGGAAGGGAAGAGAAAUGUAAGACAACACUUAGCACUGCUGACUUGUUAAACAUAGUUCUCUCUAAUUUAUGCUGAAGCAAGCCCAGGUCUAUCCUACCUGAAUUUUCUGUCUUUGUUUACAAAGUAACUUGUAUACUUUCUUCUUGACAUAAACUAUGGUAUGUCCGUAGUUAUGCAGCACUUGCAAACAAAAGUGAAACUUUUCCAUCUAGUUCUUUUUGAAUUUGUGGGGUUGUCAAUAUGACUUACGAUAUGACGCAACUUUUUGUGUCUUGAACGGCAGUAAGUGGUAUCUAUCUAUCUAUCUGGUGUGGAUAUUCAUAGGAAGAGUGAAUUAGAAUGUAGUGACACAAAAGUAAUUUUCACCUCAAUCUCAGUAAAUAAAGCAAAUCUGUCUUCUGUAGGUCAUACUUCUCCUGCUUUGUCUGCCUCAGAGAAUAAAAAUUGAAUUGUUCAAGUGAAAUUAGAACAUCAUGGCCUUGACCUGAACAGGAAUGAAAAAAGUAUGUUUGUACAGGAGAUGUCCAUGUAAUCAGUGGGGCUCCUAGCAGUGUUAAUUUGUGAGCACUAUUAAUUCAGUAGCAAUAACCUCCUGUAUUAGUACAGUUGAGUGUCAAUAUUAACACAGUAUUGCAUGCAUUAAAAAUGCUCACAUUUCCUCUUUUUUUCCUCUCUUCUUUUUUCUCCCCUAAUACAUGCAUGAUCAAUUUCAGGUAUAACAUUCUAAAAUUUUUAUGCUAUUCAGCCAACCCGGAUCUCAUUACAUUAGACAAAUAUUGCAUAGGAAGAAAGUGGAUCACGUAAAUGCCACUAAUAUUAUUCAUGAAUUUUCCUAUUACAGUGGGUUGGAAAUCUGCAACAAAUAUUCUCUUACAAAUGACUUUAUUUAAGAUCUGGUAUUGUAUUUCUGUAUGUUGUCAUUGCUAUUUAAUAGGGUUUGAUUCAUUUCUCUGGAUAAAACUCAAUUCUCUACCAUUAACAUUUGUUCUCUCGCACUGAUGAUUAUGUGAAUCUUUCUUACAUCCUUUCUUCCUACCUUCCAGGUUGUCUCAGGACAGACUGGAACUUCAACUUGCUUUAACUUUUCAUAGGAUAAGCAGUCCCAUCCUUCCUCCCCACCUUCUCUCCUUUCCUUUAUUUUCUCUGCUUCUUAAUUCGUUCUUUGAAUCAGACAAAAAUUAGGAUUGCUGAACAGGGUUUCACCUACUGUAGGAAAUAGCUUAAUGACAUGUUUUCUUCUGAUGUUGAACCUGUUUGCAUACUAGUAAUUGCUGUUGGAUAUUAUGUUGCAAAGCAGCCCAAAAUAUGGGAGUAUAAAUAUAUACUUAUGUUAUUUAGAACAUAUCUGUAAUAUAUGCAAAACAUACAGGUAAACCAUAAGUAAAAAUAUAUAACGUUGCAUAUGGCAUGCAGUGGUUUAGCACAGCUGCAGGUUAGUCUUCUGGAAGAGUUUUAUUAAUGGAAAAGCUUCAACUUUAAAUUGGACUAUGCUGUAAUUAAAAAUAAUGUCUGUGACAUUAAUUUCUAUAGGAUACUUUAACGUAAUUUGAAAAAAAAAAUGAUUCUAACAAAUUCCAUGGGUUUUCAUGACAACUUUUUUUAAUAUAAAUCCAUGACGUAUUAAUGGGAUUUUAUUGUUUCAAUUAUUCUUUUUUAGGUUGUAUAAAAAUUUCCCAUAACGUAGUUCUGUAUCUUGUAUUUAUGAUUUGCUAAAGUCUGAGAGCAACUUGUGGUACAAAAUGCAAAAGCAAUUUGCUCUUGACAAGACUAGGUCUAUGUUUAUUGAACAUUAUUUAUUACAUAUAUAGAUCAAUUCAUACACAUUAAUUCAGGAAAGCUUUCCUAUUGCUUAUGGCACAUGUAUGUUGAAUACCUUCCUGGUCUGCGGCUAAAACAUCAAGAGUAAAAUAACUGUGCGCAGACUACUAAUGAGUAAUAGCAUCUAACAUCUAAUCUAAAUCUUUAGCUCUCUUUAAGCUCAAAACUGUUCUCUUGUAGCUCAAAACCAUUUCCCUUCUCCUAUCACCAGCUGAGCACAUAAAAAGUCAGUCUCCUUCCUGCUUUUAAGUUCCUUUUAAGUACUGAAAGGUCGCAACUGAGAUCUUCCCGCAGCCUUCUCUUCUCCAGGCUGAACAAGCCCAACUCCCUCAGCCUGUCUUCGUAGGGUAGGUGCUUCAGCCCACUGAUCAUCUUUGUGAUCUUCUUUGGAUCCACUUUAACAGUUCUAUGCCUUUCUUGUGCUGGGGGCCCCAGACCUGGAUGCAGUACUCCAGAUGGGGCUGCAUAAGGGCAGAGUAGAAAGGAACAAUCCCCUCCUUCUCUGCUGGCAACCCCUCUUCUUGUGCAGCUCGGGAUAUAAUUGGCCUUCUGGGCUGCAAGCAGGCACAAGUAAUAUAAGCAGUGCAUGUAUUAGCUUUUACCCUCAGAUGAAUAUUCAGCAUUACCGUAUUUUUGGUGGUGCAGGUUAUUUUCUUUAAUUAGUAGAGCUACUUGUUGUAUAAUGGCAGUAUAUUCAUUGGUACAAAAUAACACAAAAUAGAGAAAUCUAAAAGGUCCAGAGGAGAUCAAAGCUGAGCUGCAUUUGUUGGUGUUUAUUUCUUUUGGCUACGCUGAGAUGCAGAAACUGGAUUUUUUCUAGUUGUGUGGUUAAGGCAUGACAGUCUUCAUUUUAAUAUAAAAUUGCUCUUAGUGUGGAGUUUCUCUAUUCUGUUUUCUAUAUGCUUAUGUUUGUGACUUGUGUUUACUAAAGUUAAUAACUCCUGUGCGUUUUAGACAUGAAUAAAAAAUACCACCAUUAUUAUUACAUCCAGUCAUCGUUACUAGAAACCUACAGUUCUUUUUUCACUGCAGAUUGCUGUGCAAACUAUUUUGAGUUAUACCCUUAUUUACCUUAAUCCAAGAAUUUUAUAGCAAAGGGAUCACUAAUAAAUCUAAGUUUAAAAAAAAAAAAAAGAGACAACAAACAUAUGGAAAUAUGUUCAGCCCCAGUCCCAGAUCAGAUCAAAUCAGGUUUAAUGCAAGUUCUCUGACCUGUGAGCAUGUGAUAUACUAGGGACCUGGAGGAGAGCUGAAGGUGACAGUGUGGGUGCAAACCCAGACAUUCAGAUAUGGCUCAUCUGCUUUGUUUCCUGAGCUAAAUUUCACUCCCUUGCUGCACUGGCCAACAAUAAAAUAGUUACAGACUUUUGUCUCCUAUCUUGACUCAGGAUCAUCAGACAAGUGAUUCAAGCAGGGUGAGGGAGAUGCCUGUUAUAGCCUUGAUCAUGGCAUCAAAGACUGCACAGGACAAAGCUACAGCCCAUGAAGCGCUGCCAGUUUGGGUCCUUAGGAUAGUCUAAACAGUGGCAGUGUUCAGAGAAGUCAUUCCAGUUUCCCUUUAGAAAAGGAAAACUCCCAUGGUAAACUGUAGUGGCUGCAAACCAUCGUAGCUAGUAAAAUUGCAUACGCUGGUGCGUAUGUAAGCUGGUUUUGUAGUCCAACCACUUCUUUUACAUAGCUAUUGGCUCAGACAUCCUUUCUUACCCUCACUUCCAUGUGCUUCUGCAGGAUCUAACAUCAGGUACUGGUCUAUGUAUACUCCUAAAUAUAUGUAGGUUGCUCCAAAAGUAAUGCUUCCUAUUUAUUUCCAUGGAAUCUACAACAAAUACAAAGCACAAUAACACUUUGUUAGAGCAAAUUCUCAGCUAUAAAACAAUUUUUUAACUUAGUUGCCAUCAUUAGCUGACUCAUGCAGAAGAGCUGAUUGAGAUCAUCUUCUUUUCAAGGUGUGACAGCUGUACAUGGCUGUCUGGAACAUGACUUGUCUUUCAUGUUGCUGUCACUGCUGCUGAAACACACCACCCACUGCCUCGCUGUGCUCACAUCCACUGUUUUGUCUCCAGAAAUGCUCAGCAAGUGUUGGCGAAUGUCAGUGGGUACCAUUUUUUCUGCAAGGAAACAUACAAUGGCAUACCUUUGCUUCAUCUGCACUUUCAUGUCAGAUGACAUCCUGUCAGACUGAUCCUCUGCUGCCAUCUGUCGCACAGUAACAAGGUGUAAGGGAGUAUCGUUGGGAAGGUUCUACCUCUACUGCCAUACCACCGACAUCUGCCUCUGACACUGUGAACCAACAUAAUAAAAUAGAGGCAUUACUUUUGGAGCAGCCAUCAUAUAUUUUGAAAUACUACAUACAAAUGAAAUGCGCAUAGUAGACUGAUGUUAAUGUGGAGCUAGCUGAGCAGUGUUGUAAUAAGCUUUAUCUUCACUCACUUCUGCACACAAAUAAGUACACUGCUUAGAUAAAUUCGUGUAAAAAAACUUUCUUGUAUCUAUAGUUAAGAAUGUAACAUAUCAUAUCCCCAAAAUUGAAGCCAUGUGAAUCAGAUUUCAGUUAGACAAAGUAAUUUUUCAUACUAUGACAACCACCAGCCUAAUGUAAGAUUUCCCUUUCCUCUUAAAGGCAGGACUAAUAUUUUACUUAAGGAAAGGAGGGCCCUCCAGGAUUUUAUACUCUGUCAGUAUACAAAAUAGGUUUUGGAUCACAAAGCAAAGUGUGAUUUCAUAAAGUUAUUGUUUUGAUGCGGCUCAAAAUCAUGUUUUCUCCUAGGUAUCUCUGAGAGUUGAGCACAGGCAGGAAUUCAGCAGGUUUAGCACUAAGCCUUCUAUACGUAUAAGCUGUUGAUUGAUGCUCUGCCUUCUAAUUACGUGGUUCUACAUCAAGGUAAUCCAACAGUUUAUAGUGGAUCAUUCCUGACCCUUCCUGAUUUGACUAUAUUUCAUAAUGAGAACCAUGGUAAAUAGUGUGUGGCCUCUUAAAUUUGUCAAUUUUCUUUGAGCCUUCAGUUUUUCUAACUGCCCACAGAAGCUUUUGAAUACAGAUUGUAACACAGUGUCCCUAGCAGGAACUGGAGACAGCAUGGGUAUACACAGUAAGCCAAACACAUAAUGCGUGAUCCAGAAAUGGCUGACUUGGGGAAAUAACUACACUGAUGAUGAACAUCUGUUUUUGAUAUAAAAAUAUUGGGGCAUUUUUGGAAGGAAAAGCUUAUCUUUUGGCUUUUGAUACUCUGCACAAUUUCCAUCCCAUUCAUCAGACCAAUAAAUCUCUGCUAAUUUGCUCCGAAAUAAUGAAGCCGUAAUAAUGAGAAGCUUGACUACAGCAUAUGCUCUAUCAUUGAAAGGCAAGAAGAGUCCACAAAUGCUGUUUUUUUUUCAAAUAAUGAGGAGCCCUAUUCAGGCAGUCCCUGUAAGAGUGCUUAAGUUCCCAGCACCAGUGGAUAACACAGACCUGUCUCCUUUUCCUGGAAAGCAAGAGAUCAGACUGGGAUGCAGACAUAAAACUCCUCUACACCAGUGCUCUCCAGAAAGCAAUUUGGUUUUCUUUUAUUGCUCUACACAUUCCACAAGAACGUUGAGUUUGAACAGGCUUUUUGCUGUGUCUGCGCGUUGAUUUUGUAUUUAUUUUAAUAGCUGUGCCUGGUGAUUUUUGCCUGAAUCUAACUAAUGCAUUUGUAAGGUGCUAGCUAGUGUAAUAAAUAAAUAGAUGGCAACCAGCAGAGUGUUGCUGUAAGAGAAGAGAUGAGGCUUGCUGUUUCUGCAAGCAGCUCUCAUUUGUUACUUCAGAGCAAAAAUUGAGCAUAGGAAUUAACAUAAAAGAUCAGUUCAGCCUUUGUGAUACCCUUGUAUUCUGCCUCCUUAAGCUCCUGUGACCCUGGGCACUUCAUACACAAUCCAAAGUGUCUGUGUUGGUGAUCAUGUGAUGUGAGUUUGGGUGUUUUUUGUUGUUUUACUUUGGUUUUGGUUUGUUCUCUUAACCUCAGCGACCAGGUUGACCAAUUACCUGGAAGGAAAAAGAUGUUUUGUGGCCCAUCAAUCUUCUGGAGAUUGUAGUAUUUUUUCCAGCAUACUUUUGGACGUUCUUGAGAACCACAAAAGGGAGAUCUGCUUUUAAUACCCUUGCUGGGGAGAGGAGUGGUAUUUUUUGCUUCUAAAAGCCUUUAUGCCGCUGGUUGUAAUUUGAAGCUUAAAAACAGCAGGCUUAGAAAUAUUUCAAAGCUCUCUAGAGGGCAGAGCCUGCUACUGGAGGCUUAUGGACAGAUUUUUGCUACCAGGUAUGAUAUCAAUCAAGAAUUCCAUUGAUUGCAGUGCUAUUACUCUGGCAUAACCAGGAGCAGAAUGUGACCCUCAGUUUAAUUUCUGAUACGGCUCCUGGAUUUAUUGGAGCUGUGCAUCUCUGCAGGACCUUUCCUGCCUUUGCUGCAGCGGCAGCUUGAUGUAAAUCAGAUUUCCUUGCAGCUGAAAAGAGUACUGAUUAUAUAUGAAGCUCUAACAACAUUUGCUGGAGUUCUAUGUUCCUGGGACCGGCUUAGGCAUUCAACCAGCUUAUCCUUCUGCCUGUGACCCAAAGUAAGAGAAAAGUGUUUUACAGUAGUAAUAAAGAGAUUACGUUAGAUGAAGUUAUUUUCAGUAGCUAUAUCAGGAAGAUUGAGAGUCAAUUAUUCUGGUCAGGUUCAUCUUUAGGACACAAGCAAAGAAGAGGGCUGAGACAUUUAUACUGUACUAGCAAAAAAAAGAUUUAAAGAUACUGUGUUUGCACUGACUACUUGGGCCUUAGCACAGGGAAUAACUCUGGAAUAACUCUUGGGGAUGUCAGUGCUCAUAUUUUGGGAGCUGGAGAAUAUUGCUUCCAUCUCUUUUUGGGUGCUUCCUGACUUAUUUGUCUCUUACUCAGCAGAAAAAAAAAAAAGCAGGCUCUGUGGCCUUUGUCACGUGUCACAGUGAAUAUUUGGUAGGGAGAACAGCACUGAGGCUCCUGAUGGUAUUCCUGGGAUGUUUUGUAAACUUCUCUUCUGUUAUAAAAUCUGCUUUCAGAAAACUUUUCAGUGUUCUCUACUGAUCCCACAGAAAUACUGAUGUAUCUCUUAUCUCUCUUUUUUUUUUUUUCUGCAGAGGGAAAUGUUGCUUGAAGAGAUGCUAUAUGCAAUGGCAUGUCAUUCUGCUACCUAUUUUUAAAUAUUCACAUAGACCACAUGUAUUGGAAGGAAAGAUGUCUAUUCUGAGACAGCUGAAUGAGCAAAUUCCUUUUUAAAAGAAACUGAUGAUCACCUGCAGAUGGGGCUGUGCCAUUGGAAGCCAUUGUAAAUCAGAAGCUGUUUCGCUGAACUUCUUACUGGAGCUGUGCAGCACCAUUGCAGAUGAGGAGAUAAUUGUGCCUAAUACACAGUCUUGUUGGCUACCAGCAGCAAACUCAUAUU